AAAAAAGGUAAGCUACUAAGAGCGAAUGGUGGAUGCCUUGACUGGUAAAGGCGAUGAAGGACGUACUAGACUGCGAUAAGCUACGGGGAGCUGUCAAGAAGCUUUGAUCCGUAGAUUUCCGAAUGGGGCAACCCAAUGUAUAGAGAUAUACAUUACCUAUAUAGGAGCGAACGAGGGGAAUUGAAACAUCUUAGUACCCUCAGGAAAAGAAAUCAAUAGAGAUUGCGUCAGUAGCGGCGAGCGAAAGCGCAAGAGGGCAAACCCAGUGCUUGCACUGGGGGUUGUAGGACUGCAAUGUGCAAGAGGUGAGUUUAGCAGAACAUUCUGGAAAGUAUAGCCAUAGAGGGUGAUAGUCCCGUAUGCGAAAAACAAACCUUAGCUAGCAGUAUCCUGAGUAGGGCGGGACACGAGAAAUCCUGUCUGAAGCUGGGUCGACCACGAUCCAACCCUAAAUACUAAUACCAGAUCGAUAGUGCACAAGUACCGUGAGGGAAAGGUGAAAAGAACUGAGGUGAUCAGAGUGAAAUAGAACCUGAAACCAUUUGCUUACAAUCAUUCAGAGCCCUAUGUAGCAAUACAGGGUGAUGGACUGCCUUUUGCAUAAUGAGCCUGCGAGUUGUGGUGUCUGGCAAGGUUAAGCAAACGCGAAGCCGUAGCGAAAGCGAGUCUGAAUAGGGCGCUUAGUCAGAUGCUGCAGACCCGAAACGAAGUGAUCUAUCCAUGAGCAAGUUGAAGCUAGUGUAAGAACUAGUGGAGGACUGAACCCAUAGGCGUUGAAAAGCCCCGGGAUGACUUGUGGAUAGGGGUGAAAGGCCAAUCAAACUUCGUGAUAGCUGGUUCUCUCCGAAAUAUAUUUAGGUAUAGCGUUGUGUCGUAAUAUAAGGGGGUAGAGCACUGAAUGGGCUAGGGCAUACACCAAUGUACCAAACCCUAUCAAACUCCGAAUACCUUAUAUGUAAUCACAGCAGUCAGGCGGCGAGUGAUAAAAUCCGUCGUCAAGAGGGAAACAACCCAGACUACCAGCUAAGGUCCCUAAAUCUUACUUAAGUGGAAAACGAUGUGAAGUUACUUAAACAACCAGGAGGUUGGCUUAGAAGCAGCCAUCCUUUAAAGAAAGCGUAAUAGCUCACUGGUCUAGUGAUUUUGCGCGGAAAAUAUAACGGGGCUAAAGUAAGUACCGAAGCUGUAGACUUGAUUUUAUCAAGUGGUAGGAGAGCGUUCUAUUUGCGUCGAAGGUAUACCGGUAAGGAGUGCUGGAGCGAAUAGAAGUGAGCAUGCAGGCAUGAGUAGCGAUAAUUAAUGUGAGAAUCAUUAACGCCGUAAACCCAAGGUUUCCUACGCGAUGCUCGUCAUCGUAGGGUUAGUCGGGUCCUAAGUCGAGUCCGAAAGGGGUAGACGAUGGCAAAUUGGUUAAUAUUCCAAUACCAACAUUAGUGU
rnacentral:rRNA from 1 species